UACGUAGGGUGCAAGCGUUAAUCGGAAUUACUGGGCGUAAAGCGUGCGCAGGCGGUUAUGUAAGACAGAUGUGAAAUGCCCGGGCUUAACCUGGGAACUGCAUUUGUGACUGCAUGGCUAGAGUUUGGCAGAGGGGGGUAGAAUUCCACGUGUAGCAGUGAAAUGCGUAGAUAUGUGGAGGAACACCGAUGGCGAAGGCAGCCCCCUGGGUCAAGACUGACGCUCAUGCACGAAAGCGUGGGGAGCAAAUAGG
rnacentral:rRNA from 1 species